CUUCUAAGCAAAAUUUUGCUCCCGGUUUCUGGGAAAUGAAGCUAAUAAGUAUUCAUUAUAGCAAAAUGAAUAUAUAAAUUAUCAUUUCAGAUAUUAAAGUUGAUAGGCAUUUAUUGAUGGGAGCUUGACACUUAAUAAAGCUAAGAACUUUUAACUGAUAUCAGUACAUACUGUAUGAGUGAAGAACUAAGAUUUGUAAUCUUAAUCUGAAAGAUUUAGUUUUGUUUCAACGGAAUAUAAGAUGGAUUUUGG
rnacentral:misc_RNA from 1 species